UGCCUUGAUACUGUAAUUCUUGAGUACAUUUGAGUAGGCGGAAUGUGUUGUGUAGCGGUGAAAUGCUUAGUAUAACACAGACACCGAUUGCGAAGGCAGCUUACUAAACUGUAACUGACGCUGAUGCACGAAAGCGUGGGGAUCGAACAGGAUUAGAUACCCUGGUAGUNCACGCCGUAAACGAUGAUACUAGUUGUUUGCAAUAGACCGUAAGCGACAAAGCGAAAGCAUUAAGUUAUCCACCUGGGGAGUACGUUGGCAACAAUGAAACUCAAAGGAAUUGACGGGGGCCCGCACAAGCGGAGGAACAUGUGGUUUAAUUCGAUGAUACGCGAGGAACCUUACCUGGACUUAAAUGUAGAUUGACAGCUUUAGAGAUAGAGUUUUCUUCGGACAAUUUACAAGGUGCUGCAUGGUUGUCGUCAGCUCGUGCCGUGAGGUGUCGGGUUAAGUCCCAUAACGAGCGCAACCCACGUUGUUAGUUACCAGCACGUCAUGGUGGGCACUCUAACAAGACUGCCGGUGUAAACCGCGAGGAAGGUGUGGAUGACGUCAAAUCAGCACGGCCCUUACGUCCAGGGCUACACACGUGUUACAAUGGUCGGUACAGAGGGCAGCUACUAUGUGAAUAGAUGCGAAUCUCAAAAACCGGUCUCAGUUCGGAUCGAAGUCUGCAACCCGACUUCGUGAAGCUGGAUUCGCUAGUAAUCGCGCAUCAGCCAUGGCGCGGUGAAUACGUUCCCGGGCCUUGUACACACCGCCCGUCAAGCCAUGGAAGCCGGGGGUACCUGAAGUCUGUGACCGUAAGGAGCGGCCUAGGGUAAAUCUGGUAACUAGNGNUAAGUCGUAGC
rnacentral:rRNA from 1 species